UGACGAGUGGCGCACGGGUGAGUAACGCGUAUGCAACCUACCUUUCACAGUGGGAUAGCCCAGAGAAAUUUGGAUUAAUACCGCAUAGUAUACGGGACCGGCAUUGGUCCUGUAUUAAACAUUUAUGGGUGAGAGAUGGGCAUGCGUUCUAUUAGUUAGUUGGUAAGGUAACGGCUUACCAAGACAGCGAUAGAUAGGGGCCCUGAGAGGGGGAUCCCCCACACUGGUACUGAGACACGGACCAGACUCCUACGGGAGGCAGCAGUGAGGAAUAUUGGACAAUGGGCGCAAGCCUGAUCCAGCCAUGCCGCGUGCAGGAAGACGGCCCUAUGGGUUGUAAACUGCUUUUAUACAGGAAGAAACAACUCUACGUGUAGAGUCUUGACGGUACUGUAAGAAUAAGGAUCGGCUAACUCCGUGCCAGCAGCCGCGGUAAUACGGAGGAUCCAAGCGUUAUCCGGAAUCAUUGGGUUUAAAGGGUCCGUAGGUGGACAAUUAAGUCAGAGGUGAAAUCCUGCAGCUCAACUGUAGAAUUGCCUUUGAAACUGGUUGUCUUGAAUCAUUAUGAAGUGGUUAGAAUAUGUGGUGUAGCGGUGAAAUGCAUAGAUAUCACAUAGAAUACCGAUUGCGAAGGCAGAUCACUAAUAAUGUAUUGACACUGAUGGACGAAAGCGUGGGGAGCGAACAGGAUUAGAUACCCUGGUAGUCCACGCCGUAAACGAUGGAUACUAGUUGUUCGGGCCUCGGCCUGAGUGACUAAGCGAAAGUGAUAAGUAUCCCACCUGGGGAGUACGUUCGCAAGAAUGAAACUCAAAGGAAUUGACGGGGGCCCGCACAAGCGGUGGAGCAUGUGGUUUAAUUCGAUGAUACGCGAGGAACCUUACCAGGGCUUAAAUGUAGAUUGACAGGUUUAGAGAUAGACUUUCCUUCGGGCAAUUUACAAGGUGCUGCAUGGUUGUCGUCAGCUCGUGCCGUGAGGUGUCAGGUUAAGUCCUAUAACGGAGCGCAACCCCUGGUUGUAGUUGCCAGCGAGUCAUGGUCGGGAACUCUAGCAAGACUGCAGGUGCAAACUGGAGGAAGGUGGGGGAUGACGUCCAAUCAUCCGGCCCUUACGUCCUGGG
rnacentral:rRNA from 1 species